CCCGCGGAAUACACACCAAAAACGUAAAGUGUUACUUUGCCUUCCACAAAGGAAAACAAGAGCGAAAAAGCGCCCGAAAUAGGAAACAAACAUUCUGUGCGGCUGCGCAGACCGCAGCUGGACGGGACCAUCCCACGGGAACGGUCCCGCGAACACGCAGGCAGCCUCGCGAGGUCCCGGGCGCCUGCAGCGUCUAUAUGCAGACUGGGGGCCCAGAGACACAACACGGUUCGGCGGUGGAGACGGGCCACAACAACCAGAGGACGGUGAAUGUCCACAUACAACAGGAUGACGUUGGACCUCUUUCUCACACCAUAAGCAAAUGGACAUCAGCUGGUGAAUGGAUGAAUGAAGUGUGGUAACUCUAUACAAUGGAAUAUUAUUCUGCAACGAAAAGGAGUGACGUAAUGUACACAUUCUUCAACACGGAUAAACCUUGGAAGUAUGUUGCUAAGUGAAGGAAGGCACACAUUAAAGGCCAUAUGUUCAGAUUUCA